rnacentral:piRNA from 1 species
UGGAGGUUAACAACAGUUUGAUCAUUCUC